rnacentral:misc_RNA from 1 species
GAUGAAGAACGUAGCAAAAAGCGAUAAGUAAUGUGAAUUACAGAAUUCAGUGAAUCAUCGAAUCUUUGAACGCACAUUGCGCCCGCUGGUAUUCCGGCGGGCAUGCCUGUUCGAGCGUCAUUUCUACCCUCAAGCCCCCGGGUUUGGUGUUGGGGAUCGGCUCUGCCCUUCUGGGCGGUGCCGCCCCCGAAAUACAUUGGCGGUCUCGCUGCAGCCUCCAUUGCGUAGUAGCUAACACCUCGCAACUGGAACGCGGCGCGGCCAUGCCGUAAAACCCCAACUUCUGAAUGUUGACCUCGGAUCAGGUAGGAAUACCCGCUGAACUUAAGCAUAUCAAUAAGCGGAGGA